rnacentral:rRNA from 1 species
UGACCUCGGAUCAGGUAGGAAUACCCGCUGAACUUAAGCAUAUCAAUAAGCGGAGGAAAAGAAACCAACAGGGAUUGCCUCAGUAACGGCGAGUGAAGCGGCAACAGCUCAAAUUUGAAAUCUGGCCCUAGGCCCGAGUUGUAAUUUGCAGAGGAUGCU